UACGGAGGAUGCGAGCGUUAUCCGGAUUUAUUGGGUUUAAAGGGUGCGUAGGCGGACUGUCAAGUCAGCGGUAAAACUGAGAGGCUCAACCUCUUCCCGCCGUUGAAACUGGUGGUCUUGAGUGGAUGAGAAGUACGCGGAAUGCGUGGUGUAGCGGUGAAAUGCAUAGAUAUCACGCAGAACUCCGGUUGCGAAGGCAGCGUACCGGCAUCCAACUGACGCUGAGGCACGAAAGCGUGGGGAUCAAACAGG
rnacentral:rRNA from 1 species